GGUGGCGAACGGGUGAGUAAUACAUCGGAACAUGUCCUGUAGUGGGGGAUAGCCCGGCGAAAGCCGGAUAAAUACCGCAUACGAUCUACGGAUGAAAGCGGGGGAUCUUUGGACCUCGCGCUAUAGGGUUGGCCGAUGGCUGAUUAGCUAGUUGGUGGGGUAAAGGCCUACCAAGGCGACGAUCAGUAGCUGGUCUGAGAGGACGACCAGCCACACUGGGACUGAGACACGGCCCAGACUCCUACGGGAGGCAGCAGUGGGGAAUUUUGGACAAUGGGCGAAAGCCUGAUCCAGCAAUGCCGCGUGUGUGAAGAAGGCCUUCGGGUUGUAAAGCACUUUUGUCCGGAAAGAAAUCCUGAGGGCUAAUAUCCUUCGGGGAUGACGGUACCGGAAGAAUAAGCACCGGCUAACUACGUGCGAGCAGCCGCGGUAAUACGUAGGGUGCGAGCGUUAAUCGGAAUUACUGGGCGUAAAGCGUGCGCAGGCGGUUUGUUAAGACCGAUGUGAAAUCCCCGGGCUCAACCUGGGAACUGCAUUGGUGACUGGCAAGCUAGAGUAUGGCAGAGGGGGGUAGAAUUCCACGUGUAGCAGUGAAAUGCGUAGAGAUGUGGAGGAAUACCGAUGGCGAUGGCAGCCCCCUGGGCCAAUACUGACGCUCAUGCACGAAAGCGUGGGGAGCAAACAGGAUUAGAUACCCUCCUAGUCCACGCCCUAAACGAUGUCAACUAGUUGUUGGGGAUUCAUUUCCUUAGUAACGUAGCUAACGCGUGAAGUUGACCGCCUGGGGAGUACGGUCGCAAGAUUAAAACUCAAAGGAAUUGACGGGGACCCGCACAAGCGGUGGAUGAUGUGGAUUAAUUCGAUGCAACGCGAAAAACCUUACCUACCCUUGACAUGGUCGGAAUCCCGAAGAGAUUUGGGAGUGCUCGAAAGAGAACCGAUACACAGGUGCUGCAUGGCUGUCGUCAGCUCGUGUCGAGAGAUGUUGGGUUAAGUCCCGCAACGAGCGCAACCCUUGUCCUUAGUUGCUACGCAAGAGCACUCUAAGGAGACUGCCGGUGACAAACCGGAGGAAGGUGGGGANGACGUCAAGUCCUCAUGGCCCUUAUGGGUAGGGCAUCGCC
rnacentral:rRNA from 1 species